GCUUCCUCUUAGUCUUCCUCAUAAUGUAUGCUUUCAAGCUUUAAAGUGGUGUUUCAGUUUUGGAUGUGAAGAUGGGACAUACUUUGUUCUGUGUGCUGGGGUUAUUCUUGCUGAAUACACUCCUCCACUCUGGACAUGCUGAAGCAAAUAAAACCAAACCUGUCCUCACUGUGUCUCCAUCCUGGCUGAGUCCUGGAGCCUCAGUAACUCUGAGCUGCAGUGUUAAAGAUCCAUCUGCAGGAUGGAGGUUCUUCUGGUUUAAGGCUGUUCCCAAACUAUCAGGCAACUCCUACGACCAAGAGCUGCUACCUGGCAGCAGC